UAAGACGUAUGGGGCGAGCGUUGUCCGGAAUCAUUGGGCGUAAAGCGCGCGUAGGCGGUUUGGUAAGUCGGAUGUGAAAGCUUCGGGCUCAACCCGAAAAUUGCGUUCGAAACUGCCUCACUAGAGAGCAGGAGAGGAUAGUGGAAUUCCCGGUGUAGCGGUGAAAUGCUUAGAUAUCAGGAGGAACACCGGUGGCGAAGGCGACUUCCUGGACCAAUACUGACGCUGAGGCGCGAAGGCGUGGGGAGCAAACAGGAUUAGAUACCCUGGUAGUCCACGCAGUAAACGGUGAACACUAGGUGUAGCGGGUAUUGACCCCUGCUGUGCCGCAGUUAACGCAUUAAGUGUUCCGCCUGGGGAGUACGGCCGCAAGGUUA
rnacentral:rRNA from 1 species